GCAUGCGCAACAAGCAAUGUUUUGAAUUUGUGCUGACAUCGGUUGGCUCCAGCUAAUUGGCGAAGAAUUUGCUGAAACUGGGAAAAGAAGCAGAGACUGCUUGCAUUUUUACCUCUGGACAAAGACACUAAGGACAAGUGUUUGGGGCAACUGCCUUCUCUGAACAUCGGUCUCAUUGGCACAGGCCUCAGUACAUUGGAGAUUUAAGAGGACACUUCAUACCCUACAACCCCUAAAAUAACCCAGAUUUGACAGCACUGCACACCCAUCUCGGGCCUUCCUGUUUCAUUUUGCGAUUACCCCAGAUACUUCUACUACUAACCCGCUUUGUGUCUGAUGUUGAUGCAGUCUGGACACUAAUAUGUGUUGGAUUGCUGACCAUCAUUGAAGAUGAUGUAUUUCUCCAAAUCUUCUCUGCCUUGACCCUGUGUCUUCUGCCAUCAUUGUUCAGGGUACACUGCAAAGAACAGUCUGUAGAAUCUACAUCAACUGUUUGCUUCUGGAAUGUCAUUUGGUACAUUUGGAUUGACCUAAUACCAUGAAAAACACUUGGAGAUUCAUUCAAAGUGUGGUGCUUUACUUGGGACGAAACAAAACCCUGAAACUAAAGUGACUUUUUGAACUUUAAUUAUAUAAUCCAUUGGCAACAUGUGCAGCCUACCCAGUGCCAUACUUAAACUCAUCCUCCUACUGCUACCUCCACUUCUUACACUAAGCAUACCCUAAAUCAGAUUGUUGUUGGUUUGUAUUGUAUCAGAUUGUUGUUGGUUUGUGUAAUACAUUACCUUUAACUUUGAAUUGUCACUGCCUUAAAUUUAUGUGUCAUAUGAAUGGAACAUUGUUUUCAUUAAUUUGUAAUGGAUUUUUGAAGCACUUAAGUUACUAGACUAGUUAAAUUACUACUAUUACUACUUAAAUUAAUAGUUAGUCAUUUAAGUGCUUAGUUGCAUUUACUUGAACAGAAAACUAAUUUAUUGCUAAAACCAUGCAAACCGAUAGCUUUACAUAAACCAAGUAAGCAUUACUCUAGCACCAGAGUAACGCUUACUUGAUUUAUUUAAGGCAAUCGGUUUGCAUGGUUUUAGCAAGUAAAUUAGAUUUCUGUUCAAGUAAAUACAACUAAGUGACUCUGAGUUACCAGAACUUGCGUGUAAGUUUACAACACUAAAUAAACCUUUGUAAGUACAAAAUACUGUUCUUAUUUCACUUUACUUGCUUUUUUCAAGGCAAUCGGUUUGCAUGCUUUUUUUAAGUAAGGUUUACUAAUUAGAAUUUAUAGUGUAGCAUGGAGACUGCGCCAUUAUGGUUAUUUUCAAAGUUUUUCUCAGGUUCAAUGACAAAGCAGAUUUUUCUUCAAAACUAUUUAUUGCAUUGUUUAUGUUGUUUACAGUCAAGCCAUCAACAUACAA